rnacentral:piRNA from 1 species
UGUGGUCACGUUUGCCAGAAUAGAGGCUAC